rnacentral:rRNA from 1 species
CAGCGCCACGGUAACACAGAGGGUGCGAGCGUUAAUCGGAUUUACUGGGCGUAAAGCGUGCGUAGGCGGCUUCUUAAGUCGGAUGUGAAAUCCCUGAGCUUAACUUAGGAAUUGCAUUCGAUACUGGGAAGCUAGAGUAUGGGAGAGGAUGGUAGAAUUCCAGGUGUAGCGGUGAAAUGCGUAGAGAUCUGGAGGAAUACCGAUGGCGAAGGCAGCCAUCUGGCCUAAUACUGACGCUGAGGUACGAAAGCAUGGGGAGCAAACAGGAUUAGAUACCCGCGUAGUCCCUGUCUCUUAUAAC